GCGAGGGGACGGGCGACGCUAGGACGCGCGCUCGAGGGCGCGGCGCAGACCGGACGCCGAGGAUGCUGAGCCCCGGCCCCGGCCCAGUCCCCAGCAAAUGAUGGCGAUCCGGGAGCUGAAAGUGUGUCUUCUCGGGGACACCGGCGUUGGGAAAUCAAGCAUUGUGUGCCGCUUUGUCCAGGAUCACUUUGACCACAACAUCAGCCCAACUAUUGGGGCAUCUUUUAUGACUAAAACUGUGCCUUGUGGAAAUGAGCUUCAUAAGUUCCUCAUCUGGGACACUGCCGGCCAGGAGCGGGAUUCAUUUCAUACCUUGAAGAAAUGGGUUAAGGAACUGAAAGAACAUGGUCCAGAAAACAUUGUAAUGGCUAUUGCUGGGAACAAGUGUGACCUGUCAGAUAUUAGAGAGGUUCCCUUGAAGGAUGCUAAGGAGUACGCGGAGUCCAUAGGGGCCAUUGUGGUGGAGACAAGUGCAAAGAACGCGAUCAACAUUGAGGAGCUCUUUCAAGGAAUCAGUGCCAUCAAGUCAGUUCUGGCUCACACCAACCCCAUGUACAACAGAAGGAAACACUGCCCAGUCCUGCACAUCCUCACCAUCAUUGCUGUAUUUGAGCCCAUUGUUGCAGCCACUGUGUCAGUCCAUCUUGUUGAGGGUCUUCCUCUUUUCGCUGACCCUCUGCUUUACCAAGCAUGAUGUCCUUUUCCAGGAACUGGUCCCUCCUGAGAACACGUCCAAAGUAUGUGAGAUGAAGUCUCAUCGUCAUUGCUUCUAAGGAGCAUUUUGGCUAUGCUUCUUCUGAAACAGAUUUGUUUGUUCUUCUGACAGUCCACGGUGUGUUCAGUAUUCUACACCAACACCAAAAUUCAAAGGCAUUGAUUGUGCUAAUUAGUUGGUAAAAACAAAUCCUUGUUUUGGAGCUAGUGUUCUAUGCCUUUUCAGUAGGGGACAGAAAAUCAGAAUGGAGAGCUAAUGUGGUACAGUGAGAAAAACGCAGCUCUGAGUCCAUCAGAAACAAAGCUGUGUGUCAGAAUGACCUAUACAUGACUGACUGUGAUCACCAAAAGCCCUCUGAAUCGCAGGAAAAUGGUGACAGUGACAGCCAUGACAGUGGCUUCACAGUGACCGUGAUCGCCGAAGCCCUCUGAACCGCAGGGAGAUCGUGACAGUGACAGCCGUGACGCCAGCUUCACAGUGACCGUGAUCGCCGAAGCCCUCUGAACCGCAGGGAGAUCGUGACAGUGACAGCCGUGACGCCAGCUUCACAGUGACAGCCGUGACGCCAGCUUCACAGUGACCGUGAUCGCCGAAGCCCUCCGAACCGCAGGAAAAUGGUGACAGUGACAGACAGCCAUGACAGUGGCUUCACAGUGACCGUGAUCGCCAAAGCCCUCUGAACCGCAGGGAGAUCGUGACAGUGGCAGCCGUGACGCCAGCUUCACAGUGACCGUGAUCGCCGAAGCCCUCUGAACCGCAGGGAGAUCGUGACAGUGGCAGCCGUGACGCCAGCUUCACAGUGACCGUGAUCGCCGAAGCCCUCUGAACCGCAGGGAGAUCGUGACAGUGGCAGCCGUGACGCCAGCUUCACAGUGACAGCCGUGACGCCAGCUUCACAGUGACCGUGAUCGCCGAAGCCCUCUGAACCGCAGGGAGAUCGUGACAGUGGCAGCCGUGACGCCAGCUUAAGUGAGGGCGAUGUCUGAACAUCUCUGAAAACUGUCGCCAGAUCCCACCCUUGGACCCCCAUGAAAAUGGAAACAGUGGAGGAAUAAAAAUCGUGAAGCCACCCUCGCAGGCCAGCCCGCGGUGCUGCUGACCCAGGCACUCGCCUGAGUGUCCUUGAAGGAGCCAGACCCCUCUCGUGUAUACUGCUGGAGACUCAGGGGCGGAUUCCCAAUAAGCGAGGCACUCUGGGCUUACUGGUGCUCACUCACCUGUAGUGCACAAUCAAAUAAUGUGGUGAAACUCAUGCGAAAUUGUGCACUACAGAUCAGUAAGUAAGCACAAUUAAGCCGGUGCAUUACUGGUUUUCAGCAGCCCGGUACCCCAGUGCCCCACUCAAGAAGAGUGAGCAUGCUGGCUUUGCAUCCUGGAAGGCCGGCAGGGAAUGGGGCAGAAAAUGUCCCUGAAAAAGGAUUUUAGAAAACUCUUGGGAAAAAACCACCACACUGUUGCAUAAAAUGGCCUUUCAUGCCUGAAGCGCACAAGGCAGGGAACGGAUGUUAGGCAAUUAAUAUAUGUUGAGUUUUUUGUUAAGAAUUUUCUUAAACCCUUAAGUUUGUCCAAAAGUCUUCCUGGCAUAUUAUGUGUGUGGGAUUCCAGCAUGGUGCUCCAUUCUGUUUCCCUGGAUUACCCAGUCAAAGUUCAUUAACUUCUUAGAGCUGCUGCCUGUGUUACGGAGUCAGCUGUCACUGAGAGGUAAAUUUAAUUUAGAAGGUAAGUUUUUAGCUGGCUUUGUAACUAAGCCUUUACUUACAGCUUUUUGGAAAGAAAUCAGAGAAGUGUAAUUGGACCAUCACUCAAGCUUCGAGACUUGAACUAUUAAAAAAGAGGAGAAAAAUGUAUUAGAAACCGUGGUCUAUGUCUUACACUUUUAAUUGAUCAGCAUUUUUCUAAGUUUGGUCACAUGCGAACACACCAAAUCUGACUAAAAUAUUGCCUGUAACGUUGGGGUUGGGAGGCCCAUUUUGAAAGAGUCAUUGAAGCAGUUAGUGUGUAAGCAGUAAUUGAUGUGGGAUAUAAAUAGUACUCAAGAGACCACGUGGUAUAAAUCACCACCGCCAUCAUAAACCCCUGCUCUGUUAGAGAAGUUAAUGCACAGAGUAGUAUUUACCAAGAGAAAAUGUCAUGGUGUCAUAUCAAGGGGAGAAAUAAAGGAUGUUUGCAUCUAAGUCAUAAGGCAAACUUCUAAUAGCAACUGGUUGCAGGUUACCAGACAGGCAGUAUCAGCCCCUGCAGAUCCCAGACCCAAGAAACUACAAAAUCAGAGAAAGCAUUUUGAAAGUUGCCAAACUCGGGGAGGUGGUUAUUAGGAUGAGCCAGAGGUCCAAUUCUGGAGUGCUAAUUAACUGAAGGUGGAGUUUGGUGAAAACCUUGCUUUUCAUUUCCUACCUGCACAAUUAAUCACAGAUGUUCAAAGCCACAGGCAGUACAGGGAGAAAAGAAAUGGAAAGGAAGACAAGCUGUUUCCACUCAGAAUUCAAAUCCUAUUACCAUUCUAACCUUCAUGAACACCUAGAAUCAAGAAGCACUUGAUUUUCUGUCAGGGCUUUUCAGAACAGUGACUUUUGUGGGGUCUAGGAACAUUGUACAAGAAUGUCCUCGGAUAUGGUCAGUCAUGAAGCAUGGUAACAAUUGCCAGCUGGCACCUUCUUUGCCAUGGCCCCUCAAGGCCAGCAGACAUUUAUUGAAAACCUACAAUGUAGAGACCUAGAGAUGUCAGUAACUCCGUGUGAGCCCCUGGUGGCUGUGCCUGCUGUCCUCCUAGCCUCCUAGUGGGUGGAGACAGAGUCAUGUCAUCUACCAAAGGCACAGUCCUUGAGAGACCAGUGAAGUUCACAGUUGAUGUUUUCUUGUUAAUACAGCUCUCUGUUGACCGUAGUCUAAAAAAACAGGGCCAGAUUUAUGCUUUUCAAUUCCAGAAGAUGCUGUCAGUUGGAUGUUCAGACUUCCCCUAACUUGCAAGAGUUGGUUGACAGUCUUAGAAUGUGAAAGCUGAAAACACUUAUUUUUGGUUCAAGAGUGCCUCUUAGCUCUCCCAAGCAGGUACCUCAAAACUGUUCGCAAGUGGAAUCUGGCUGCCUUGACAGGGUGUGUGCAGAGAUUUUUUUGGUUUUUCUCUGCGUUGUCAACAUUACUAGCUGACAUGAUUGUGCUUGCAGGCCGAGCAAUCGUCAUGCCUCUUUCUAAAGGUUUAAAAAAAAAAAAAGCAUUGAAAACUGAAGUGACCUCUUUCCAGGUGACACACAGGCUUAUUUUUGACCUUUUCAUUAUCCAGCUCUCCCUGAGAACUUGGGUUUAUUUCUAGAUAGCAGUUCAGGUCACCUAGCAAAGCAGGCAGGCACUCCCAGGCAGAGCCUCACAGCUUUGGGCUUGGUUUGCAGAGGUCAGCAUCUUGCAUAAAAUGGCUAGUCUUAACCACAUGUUAACCUCAUGAGCCCAUGGUUUUAUUUCAGAAGCCGGUGAUGGUGUGAAGCCACUCUUUUACUUUUCUGUACUGCCUUAGCUGUUCAAGCCAGUCUGAGGACGCACAGGCAUUGGCUUCCACGUGGGGUCUUCUCUGAAUACCUGGCCUUGUCCAUCAUUCAGGCUCUGCCAUGUUCCUUUCUUUUGGCUUGGGAUUACUUUCUGACUGAUCUAAUCAUUGAACUAUAACCACAUAAUAUUAUGUGAACACGCUGAAAUUAUGAUUGCUCUAAAAUGUCAAAUAGUUACAUGUGGUAUAGCCUCUUUCCCUCAUGUUUACUUGCUACCUUCUGCCCGUUUCCUUUCCUUUCAUGUGUGGUGUAUAUAUAUGUAAAUAUGAUGUUCCCUUUGUUACCCUGACAUGUUACCCGUGUCGCAGGCUGGUUCUGAUGCAUGGCUGUCUGUUACAUACUGUAGGUAUGGGUUCUCACGGGGGUUGUUUCCCAGUGAAAUCCCUAAGGAUGACAGUAGACAUGCCACCAUUUUAUGUAGGUACGUAGUUAACUUGUCAUUUUACAGUUAGAAAUGGUACACUAGGGUGCUGAAUAUGACGUUACCUUGCAGACUAUAAAAGCUUGAAGACCUAAAACUAACCUUUAGCCAACAAUUAGGGGCUUGUGCCCCAGUGAAGACUGAAUUUCUUUUCUGAGGGAGGUGUGGGCAACUGAGGUUUCCCACCACGAUCAAGGACAGUGGCAUGUGACGGCCAGAACUGAGCUCAUGUUGGUGGGCUCUGCGUCUCUGCUGUGCAGUGCUCGCUGGUGGGGAGUUGAAUAAUGAGCUAACUUGUAAGUGAAAGGGCACUGAUUUGCGUUCAGACCUAUGAGGUUCAUAGUUUACUCUUUUAGCCGUCCUUGUUUAAACCAGACCCAGGAUGCAAUGUCAGUACCAUGUUGUAUAAACCGCUGCUUUUCCUCCUGUGUAUUCUAAAAGGCUCGGCCUGGGCUGGCCCCAGUUCACGCAUGUAGAAGACGCCGCUGCAGACAGGACCUUUCCUCCUGUGUUCCAUAGUAAAGCUGUUCACUCAACAACGCCCAGUUGUAUCUGUUAUUUUGAUUUAACGCACACUGAUUCAUACUAAUAAAUAUUUUCAGUCUUACCAA